CAGCAGCCGCGGGAAUACGUAGGGUGCGAGCGUUAAUCGGAAUUACUGGGCGUAAAGCGUGCGCAGGCGGUUAUAUAAGACAGAUGUGAGAUCCCCGGGCUCAACCUGGGACCUGCAUUUGUGACUGUAUAGCUAGAGUACGGUAGAGGGGGAUGGAAUUCCGCGUGUAGCAGUGAAAUGCGUAGAUAUGCGGAGGAACACCGAUGGCGAAGGCAAUCCCCUGGACCUGUACUGACGCUCAUGCACGAAAGCGUGGGGAGCAAACAGGAUUAGAGACCCCUGUAGUCCCUGUCUCUUAUAC
rnacentral:rRNA from 1 species